AUGCUAAAGUAGGGCGCAUUUUGGCACAUUGCAGUUUAAUGGGUUAUAAGAGAGAGAAAUUCUGCCCAGCAUGGCUGGUCUGACCAUUUCAAAUGGAAAGCGUGCUUUGUGUCUUUUUUGUAAAUAUAUCCAGUCCUUGCAAUAUGAUUAUGAACUUUAGCUAAAUUGAGGACUUUAUGUAAAUUUGUAUGCGGCAUAUAACAAAGUACGCAUUAUCAAAGUUGAGUUAUAGAAUUAUAGUGGCAUGCAGUCAUUGUUUGUUUUAUUAGGUUAACUAGUGCAUGUAGUGAUUAAGAAUCAAAUAAGGCCAAAUAAAAAAAAAUACUUGGUUAGCGUCACACUCUCACAAAUUUUCAGAGGCGGGCGGGCGGAUUUUUUUUUAAAUUUUUACUCGUUUUUUAAUUUUUUAAUAGUAUUUUUGGAGGGGAUGGGGGGCGGUUUUCCACCAUAUCGGUGAUAUUUUUUGUACUGAUGUUGCGAAGGCCGCCAUUUUGCUUUAAGAACCUUGUAUUCCCAAGCCUACGCGCUCCUAUCGAUCAGUAUGUAGCGCGAAGGUCUGAGCAUGAGAAAAAUUUCAAAUAUUAAACUUUAUUAAGCUGUAAAACGAAGAGAUUUACAUGAAAACAAAUUAAAAAAAAAUCAGAGGCGGCAGAAAAUCGAGAGGCGGGCGGUGACGCUAACCAAGUAUUUUUUUUUAUUUGGCCUAAUAACAAAUAUAUGCACAAAAUAUUUAGAUUUAUAUAACCAGUAAAAUAUCGUGUUAGUUUUCAUAGGUAUAUAGUAAAAUAUUUCAUAUGGAUAUUUAAUAAAAGUAUUUGCUUAAAACAGGCUCUCAUAAAUGUUUCCGAAUUUCUUUAACUUUCCCCAAAAUUCCUUACAUUACUUCAUUCAGUUUAAUGUGAUUUCCGCUCGACGAACGUAAAUCACAUAUUUGUACUUCAAAUUUAACCAGAUAAAAAAUCGAGAAUUCGGCAAUUUUUAAUUCUUGAAAUUCCUAAAGCUUUGAAUUCUUCAAAAAUUUCUCCCCACAAAAUUGAUUUGUAUACAUUGAGAUUUAUUUCAGCUCGAUUUAGGCGACGAAAUUUAACCUAGACUGGACUUAGGUUAGUUUGAACUAGCCUCUGGAAUAUGGUUCAAACUAACCCUGCUGAAACUCUAGACAGGCUUUUUUUACAUUUCAAAAACCUCACAUUGGUUAAAGUUAACUCACAUCGAACCUGGGUUAUUUUUCGUAGCGUAAAUCAAGCUUUCACUGGUAUUCACUGAAUACCACUAGAAUCACUAGACACAAAUCCAGGUCAAAGGUCCGUAAAAUAUUCAGCAGUUAAUAAUAGUUGUCAUAAUGAAACAGGAAACCAUGAUCAUGUUUGUAAAGCAGAUAUCGCAAUAUCAUUUUCCCAGAAUAGAUUGCUUUUACAAGGAAUACGACCUUGCCUUGUUCUCUCGUUACGUACAUUUGAAGUUGUGUUGGCGUCAUUUAUCAAACUCAAAAUCAUUCUCAGUGUAUUUAAACCGCUACAACAUGAGCGGCGAAGAUUUAUUAGCGAAAUUCGAUGACUUGGUGAAACGCUUCAGGAACGAAUUCAACGAUAUUAUUGAAGGGGAGCGAGCCAAAAUGAAGGCGGAACUACACGCUUACAACGCAGAGAAGCAAAGAAUGAAAGCCGUCGAAGUCAGCGACAACGAUAUCAUACACCUCAACGUUGGUGGUCACAAAUUGACCACAAAAAGAUCUACUCUUUGUCAAGUAGAAGGUUCGCUGCUCGCCUCAAUGUUCAGUGGACGUUGGGAGGACAGUCUCGAGCGCGAUCAAGAUGGCGCCAUAUUUUUCGAUUUCAAUCCCCAGUAUUUCGUUGUUAUAUUGGAUUACCUGCGCACGAAGAAAAUUGCGACACCAGAGAAUCCCACGCCAUUGCCGAAAGUUCCCGAAGACCAAGCAAAAAGUUUUAAUACUCUUCUGGAAUACCUCGGUUUAAGCGAUGAAAUCGUGCCCGCUGAAAAAGUGCCUAGCGAGAAAUUCAAUCAACACAGCAGCAAUGUAGUUACUCUUCAGGAAGGCGGGACAGUUGCAGUUCAUGGUCCAAUUUAUGGACAUAGUUAUGUUCUGGGAGAAAAUGUUCACCAACAAAGCAGUGUUCGUUUCAAGUUAAAGGUGGAGUCGUUUCAAACUAAAACAUGGAUGUUGGUUGGCGUAGUGAAAGCGGAUGUUGUACCACCGAAUAACAAUUCAUACUCAUGGCCUGGUUCAUAUGGAUGGGCACUCGGGCAGUAUGGCCAACUAUGGAAAGAAGGGUCACAUACGACUGAUAAUGCUUUAAAAAAUAUGACUAAACAAGGCGACACGGUUGAGUUAGUCUUGGAUUGCGAUGCUGCCAAGCUGUCACUACAUUUGCCCACUGGUCAACAAUUUCACAUGGAAAUACCCAAGUCACAAACCUGGAGACUGAAUGUGGAUUUGCGUGAUGCAAAUGACAAAGUACGCAUCAUCCAUGACAAUGUAUAGUCAAAUGUAAGACUUUAUUGCCUUUGUAAACCUAAACGAUCUUUGUCAGUGUAGGUAGUGGCAAUAAUAAGAAAGUCUCAGAUUGAUAGGGAUACAACUACCUGAAAAAUACAAGGAGAACAUCGAGGUUUUGAGCGAAGGCCCUUCGUCUUGUAUUUUCGGGUAGUUGUAUUUCUAUCAAUGUGAAGCUUUCUUUGUAAACCUAAUUUCUUACCAUAAGAACUACUCAUUAACAAUAUGACUGUAGAUAUACUCAAAUUAAACCCUUCACGUAAAUUUAAUAAAAUACAUCAUAGACGGUGGAACGCGGGGUAAAAUAUUAUCUAGGUAAAAUAGUUUGUAAAAAGCUAGAAACAUUAAUUCCCGCUUUCUUCGUUUAAUUAGGUUAAUUUGUGCAAUUAAAAAUCAAGUAAUAACAAAUAUAUAGACAAAAACUCUUCUUUAUUUUAAACUAUUACUUUUGCUAUUUAACUAAUAGGGAUAUGGCCCGUUGUAUUUUUUGUAGCAAGCAUGUAAGAAAUCAAUCGUGCACAAAAACAGUCAUAACAGACGCCUCUCAAAUACAAAGCUCUAAUACAGACAGCUUCAUACCCAGGUCUAAUACAAACACCUCUCUAAUUCAGACACCUCUCUAAUACAAACACCUCUCUAAUACAGAUACCUCUCUGAUACAGACACCUCUCUAAUACAGACACCUCUCUAAUACGGGGACACCUCUCUAAUACGGCGACACCUCUCUAAUACAGAAACCUCUCUAACACAGACACCUCUCUAAUACAGACACCUCUCUAAUACAGACACCUCUCUAACACAGACACUUCUCUAAUACACACAUCUCUCUAAUACAGACACCUCUCUAAUACAGACACAUCUCUAAUACAGACACCUCUCUAAUACAGACACCUCUCUAAUACAGACACAUCUCUAAUACAGACACCUCUCUAAUACAAACACCUCUCUAAUACACACAUCUCUCUAAUACAGACACCUCUCUAAUACAGGAACACACUUUGCUUGUACGUGGCCCACUCGUCAUCGACGCUCGUUACUUGCCGUUUCUUUCCCAUAUUGCGUCUUUACAUCCCGUAUUUUGGCUUUAAUAUCUUCAUCUUCAAUGGAAUGAUAACACCGAUAUUGAUAAUAAAUGUAAAAUAACAUUAAACAUUAUUCCAGACAGUGCCAAAGGUAAAUUGAUUUAAUAAGGCUAGAUAAUACAUUCAUAUAAACACAAGUUGACAAUGUAGGCAGAUGCAAAAAAAAAUAUUACUGAAGUUAUUUAUUUUAUUUAUAAAAGUCCAAUAAAUAUGGUAUCCAUAGUUAACUUUUGCCUUCGAGCUAGAGUCGUUAUUUUGACAUAGAAGAAUUAUUUGAACCAAUCGAAGAGUUGAAUAAUUCGCUUCAAUGGCUUUUACACGCCGACUGAUAGACUUUUGCUCCGUCUCUGAGACUUUCAGGCCAAGAUAAUUCAAUAAAGACUCGAUCAGCAUAAAAUCCAUGGUGUACUUUUUCUCACAUGUUUAACCCUUGUAUUUCUUUAAGAUUAUUGUUCUUCUAUACAUUUUACAUGUCAUAUCAGCAAAUAAAGGAGAAAUCAUUUGUACAACUCUUAAAAUACUCAUUUAUAUAAUUCAUAAACCUUGCAUGUAGCAAAUUAUGUCAGCCAUAAUAUGUCACGUGGAGUGACUUUAUAUAUGAUAAAUCUCAUCUUCAUUAGUAUUCUUUAUAUAAUAUGUUCAUCCUAAUUAGUAUUCUUUUGUAGUCGUAUUUUAUGCCAUUCAAAACACUCGUUGUCGUGUUUUAUGAGAUAUAAAACAUUCUUACUCGUGUUUUAAAUAGUACAUAAUAGAAAAGACAUCUUUGCAUUACGACAAUGCACGCGUAAAAGGUUUUUGAUUCACCUAAAAUACAAUGGGUUUUUUGUAUAUGAUCACUAGAUAGAUAUUUUUAGUAGGAUCCUUGUCAAAAAAUUCAAUAACGGUUGAGCAAUUGCGAUUGUUCUGCACUUGUCAUAUUUUCGAAACGAGUUCGGUGACCCCAAUAUUUUCCCUGUUUUUACUAUGGGCAUGUUUCAUAAACUUCACAUCUAGGAACUUUCAGCACAUUCGCAGUUUCCAGAAAAAUUACUAAUGAAUCAUCUUAAAAUUAAUGCUAAAUUGGUCCACCCUAAUCCGAUUUCCCUACAAUAAUUUAGCGCGUGUUUCAUUCAUUUUCCGUGUGUUUUUUCUCACAUAUAACGGACUUGGAUCAUUAACUCAGAUGUAAAUUCGCUCACUCAUAAGUUGCUUCGCUGAAAUUUUCCAAGCAACAUGCUCCAAUAGCCACAGCAGAAACAUUUGAUGAUCUAACUUCAAAAAGCUAGGAUGUGCCAAAAUAAAACAAUGCACCCGAAUGCAGUGAAAACUUGUUUUUUGGGACUAAAUUUGCUUUUAAUUUGGUAUUUAAAGAACAUGUAUAAUUCCGAAUUGGUGUAAAGCAAUGAAAUUGCUUUGUGGAAGUGACAUAUAAAAAUUUCAAAGUUGCGCCACGAGUUUCUCGUUUCCUUGCCCAAAUACAGUAAAAAAAAUAAACCGUCAUACCAGUCAUUUUGCAGGUUUAUUUUCAAUUUAUAUGUAAAUAUCAACUAAUCAACACAUAUUUAAAGAUUUGCGGCACACAGAAGUUCAGCUUGCCUUGUUUUCUCGUGACACACAUUUAAAGUUGCGUUGGCGUCUUUUAUCAAACUCGACGUGUAUGACGCAGAGAAGCAAAGAAUGGAUGCUGGCGAAGUUCCCAACGACGUUUUCAUACACCUCAACGUCGGUGGACAAAAAUUAAUCAGCAAAAGAUCCACUCUUUGUCAAGUAAAAGAUUCGUUUUUUGCUUCAAGGUUCAGUGGAAGAUGGCCGGAAGAUCGUGACAAACGAGACGACGAUGGCGCUGAGUUAUUCGAUGAUAACCCACAAUUUUUUGUUGCCAUUGUGAAUUAUCUGCGCGCCAAGAAAUAUGCCACCAAAGAGAAUCCCGCAUUGCCGCCGAAAGUCCCCAAAGAUCAAUUGGACGAUUUCGAAAAUUUUGUCGAGUACCUCAGGUUGAGUGAUGAAAUCAUCCCCCGUGAGAAAUUCAAUCAACACAGCCCUGGAGUUACUCUUGAGGAACACAGCAGAGUCGCCGUUCAUGAUCCAGAUAAAGCAGAGCAUAGAUACGUUCUUGGUCAAAAUAUUUACCGAGAAAAGACGCACAGUUUCAGGUUGGAAUUGGAGAUGUUUAAAGAUCAUUUUUGGAUGUUUGUUGGCAUUAUGAGAAACUGUGUUGUACCACCGAAUAACAAAUCACGUCGAUGGCCUGGUUCGUAUGGAUGGGCACUCGGGCAGCGUGGUCAAGUAUGGAAAGACGGGUCACCUACGAUUGAUAAUGCUUUAAAAAAUAAGACUAAACAAGGCGACACGGUUAAGUUAGUCUUGGAUUGCGAUGCUGCCAAGCUGUCACUACAUUUGUCCACAGGUCAACAAUUUCACAUCGAAAUACCCAAGUCACAAACCUGGAGAUUGCAUGUAAAUUUGCUUAAUCCAAACGACAGACUACGUAUUAUAAACGAAUAAUCAAAUCAAAGACUAUGGGCCUUUCCUAACCUGAGUAUCAGGCUCUACUCAGGUUAGGCCUUUCCAUAUUAGAGAGAUUCAGAUUUGAAAAAUCAAAUCAAAUCAGAUUAAUCUGAUAUAUCAAACGCAUCUGAUUGGUUAAACUGAUAUGUCAAACGUAUCUGAUUUGUUUAACCAUAUAUCAAAUUAACCAAUCAGAUGCGUUUGAUAUAUCAGAUUAACCAAUCAGAUGCGUAGUAAGCCAGUGAGAGGUAGUGAUAGUGAAAGUGAAAUCUGAAUCUCUCUAAUAACACUGUUAGACUGGUUAGAUCCAUCAAAUUGUUAAAUGGAAUAAAACAAUUUCGCUUCUGAGAUUGGUCUGACGGGAAAAUUUCGAUCAAAUCAACAUGAGGUCCAUUUUGAUCAAACGUCCGAAAACUUGGCCCAGAUAUUGCUUGAAAUCAUAACCCGUUAUAGUAUGCAAGACUCUCCCCUUGACGAGUAAAUUCAUCUGGCGUUAGACGAAGUAAAAUACUAAAGUAGGGCGCAUUUUGGCACAUUGCAGCUUAAUGGGUUAUAAGAGAGAUUCUGCCCAGCAUGGCUGGUCUGACCAUUUCAAAUGGAAAGCGUGCUUUGUGUCUUUUUUGUAAAUAUAUCCAGUCCUUGCAAUAUGAUUAUGAACUUUAGCUAAAUUGAUGACUUUAUGUAAAUUUGUAUGCGGAUAUAACAAAGUACGCAUUAUCAAAGUUGAGUUAUAGAAUUAUAGUGGCAUGCAGUCAUUGUUUGUUUUAUUAGGUUAACUAGUGCAUGUAGUGAUUAAGAAUCAAGUAAUAACAAAUAUAUGCACAAAAUAUUUAGAUUUAUAUAGCCAGUAAAAUAUCGUGUUAGUUUUCAUAGGUAGUAAAAUAUUUCAUAUUGAUAUUUAAUAAAAGUAUUUGCUUAAAACAGGCUCUCAUAAAUGUUUCCGAAUUUCUUUAACUUUCCCCAAAAUUCCUUACAUUACUUCAUUCAGUUUAAUGUGAUUUCCGCUCGACCAACGUAAAUCACAUAUGUGUACUUCAAAUUUAACCAGAUAAAAAAUCGAGAAUUCGGCAAUUUUUAAUUCUUGAAAUUCCUAAAGCUUUGAAUUCUUCAAAAAUUACACCCAAAAAAUUGAUUUGUAUACAUUGAGAUUUAUUUCAGCUCGAUUUACGCGACGAAAUUUAACAUAGACUGGACCCAGCUUAGUUUGAACUAUAGCCUUUGGAAUAUGAUUCAAACUAACUCUGCUGAAACUCUAGACAGGCUUUUUUUACAUUUCAAAAACCUCACAUUGGUUAAAGUUAACUUACAUCGAACCCGGGUUAUUUUUCGCCGCGUAAAUCAAGCUUUCACUGAUAUUCACUGAAUACCACUAGAAUCACUAGACACAAAUUCAGGUCAAAGGUCCGUAAAAUAUUCAGCAGUUAAUAAUAGUUGUCAUAAUGAAACAGGAAACCAUGAUCAUGUUUGUCAGUAUUUGCAUAAUAAAAGACAAAGCAGAUUUCGCAAUAUUAUUUUCACAGAAUAGAUUGCUUUUACAAGGAAUACGACCUUGCCUUGUUCUCUCGUUACGUACAUUUAAAGUUGUGUUCAGUUGGCGUCAUUUAUCAAACUCAAAAUCAUUCUCAGUGUAUUCACUAUGAGCAGUGAAGAUUUAUUAACAAAAUUCGAUGACUUGGUAAAGCGAUUCAGGAACGAAUUCAACGAUAUUAUUGAAGGGGAGCGAGCCAAAAUGAAAGCGGAACUAGACGCUUACAACGCAGAGAAGCAAAGAAUGAAAGCCGUCGAAGUCAGCGACAACGAUAUCAUACACCUCAACGUUGGUGGUCACAAAUUAACCACCAAGAGAUCUACUCUUUGUCAAGUAGAAGGUUCGGUGCUCGCCUCAAUGUUCAGUGGACGUUGGGAGGACAGUCUCGAGCGCGAUCAAGAUGGUACCAUAUUUUUCGAUUUCAAUCCCCAGUAUUUUCUUGUUAUAUUGGAUUACCUGCGCACGAAGAAAAUUGCGACACCAGAGAAUCCCACGCCAUUGCCGAAAGUCCCCGAAGAGCAAGCAAAAAGUUUUAAUACUCUUCUGGAAUACCUCGGUUUAAGCGAUGAAAUUGUGCCCGCUGAAAAAGUGCCUAGCGAGAAAUUCAAUCAACACAGCAGCAAUAUAGUUACUCUUCAGGAAGGCGGGACAGUUGCAGCUCAUGGUCCAAAUUAUGGGCAUAGUUAUGUUCUGGGAGAAAAUAUUUACCAACAAGGCAUUGUUCGUUUCAGGUUGAAGGUGGAGUCGCUUAAAAGUAAUGAAUGGAUGUUGGUUGGAAUAGUAAAAGGGGAUGUUGUACCACCGAAUAACAAUUCAUAUAAAUGGCCUGGUUCUUAUGGAUGGGGACUCGGGCAGCAUGGUAUAGUAUGGAAAGACGGGUCACAUACGAUUGAUAAUGCUUUAAAAAAUGUCACUAAACAAGGCGACACGGUUGAGUUAGUCUUGGAUUGCGAUGCUGCCAAGCUGUCACUACAUUUGCCCACUGGUCAACAAUUUCACAUCGAAAUACCCAAGUCACAAACCUGGAGACUGAAUGUGGAUUUGAGUUAUGCAAAUAACAAAGUACGCAUCAUCCAUGACAAUGUAUAGUCAAAUGAAAGACUUUAUUGUCUUUGUAAACCUAAACGAUCUUUGUCAGUGUAGGUAGUGGCAAUAAUAACAAAGUCUUGGAUUGAUAGGGAUACAACUACCUGAAAAAUACAAGGAGAACAACGAGGUUUCGAGCGAAGGCACUUCGUCUUGUAUUUUCAGGUAGUUGUAUUCCUAUCAAUGUGAAGCUUUCUUUAUAAACGUAACUUCUUACCACAAGAACUACUCGUUAACAAUACGACUGUAGAUAUAGUCAAAUUAAACACUUCAUCUAAAUUUGCUAAAAUGCACCAUGGACAGCGGAACAUGGUGCUAGGGGGUUUAUAGGCCUCCAAAAUUAAAAGUAGAGGGCUAAGCCCUACCCACCCCCCCCAAAAAAAAACAAAAAAAAACGGAUGAGAUUCAAAAUUUUGAAUUUAAUAUAAAAAAUUGGAAAAAUUCAGGAAAGAUGAAAAUAUCAUCAGUGAACAAUUCAGGAAAUAUUAAAAAUAUCUGGUAGGAAAGUAUGUUAGGUCCGGAAUGUUUUUUGCACCCUCCACCCCGAAAUAAAAACUGUUUCGCUUGUCAAAUCUGAAUUUCUCUAAUAACAUUGUCAGACUGAUUAGAUCCAUUAAAUGGAAUACAAAACUUUCGCUUCCGAGAUUGGCCUGACGGAAAAAUUUACAUCAAAUCAACACGAGGUCCAUUUUGAUCAGACGUGCGAAAACUUGGCCCAGAUCUUGCUUGAAAUUAUAACCCGUUAUAGUAUGCAAGACUCUCCCCUUGACGAGUAAAUUCAUCUGGCGUUACACAGAGUAAAAUACUAAAGUAGGGCGCAUUUUGGCAUAUUGCAGCUUAAUUAAUGGUUAUAAGAGAGAGAAAUUGUGCCCAGCAUGGCUGGUCUGACCAUUUCAAAUGGAAACGUGUUUUUUGUCUUUUUUGUAAAUAUAUCCAAGUCCUUGCAAUAUGAUUAUGAACUUUAGCUAAAUUGAGGACUUUAUGUAAAUUUGUAUUCGUCAUAUAACAAAGUGAGCAUUAUCAAAGUUGAGUUAUAGAAUUAUAGUGGGAUGCAGUCAUUGUUUGUUUUAUUAGGUUAACUAGUGCAUGUAGUGAUUAAGAAUCAAGUAAUAACAAAUAUAUGGACAAAAUAUUUAGAUUUAUAUACCAGUAAAAUAUCGUGUUAGUUAUCAUAGGUAGUAAAGUAUUUCAUAUUGAUGUUUAAUAAAAGUAUUUGUUUAAAACAGGCUCUCAUGAAAGUUUCUGAAUUUCUUUAGUUUUCC